UACGUAGGUGGCAAGCGUUGUCCGGAUUUACUGGGCGUAAAGAGCGCGCAGGCGGUCGUUCAAGUCGCGUGUGAAAGCCCCCGGCUCAACUGGGGAGGGUCACGCGAUACUGAUCGACUCGAAGGCAGGAGAGGGUAGUGGAAUUCCCGGUGUAGUGGUGAAAUGCGCAGAUAUCGGGAGGAACACCAGUGGCGAAGGCGGCACUCUGGGCCGGUACUGACGCUGAGGAGCGAAAGCGUGGGGAGCGAACAGG
rnacentral:rRNA from 1 species